UUGGAUCACUCCUUAACAGGGAGACAAACAACGAUUUUGAUGCUGAGUAUUUUUAUUCUUAGGCCCGAAAUCCUGUCACAUUAGGUCGAUCGGUACCUCAGCUUUUGAAGCCAUCAAAUUUGCAGCGAUGCAGGUGAGGAUGGUGAAAAUUCUUAGUUCCUAAACUUUGUCUAGGUCACACCCCACAAGGGAUGAGACUCCUGGGCCAUUAGCUCAGGUGGUUAGAGCGCACCCCUGAUAAGGGUGAGGUCCCUGGUUCAAGUCCAGGGUGGCCCAUUCGGUGUUGGGGGUUUAGCUCAGUUGGUAGAGCGCCUGCUUUGCAAGCAGGAUGUCAGGAGUUCGAGUCUCCUAACCUCCACUGACCGAACUUUAAUUCCCAUCUCCAGAAGUUUGGAGUAUGAGCUCGAUUGGAGUGUGAUUUAGAUGUGUCCGCUAGAGGAACCCAGCUUCCUGUCAUUCCUGCGAUAGAGAGAAAUCUAUCGAUGGUUGAUAAGAUGCUGGGCUCGAAUCAGGUGAUCAAGCAAUUGGUGAUUUGAUUUGAAGUCUGGCAGAACCUUGACGACUGCAUAGGUGAGUCUGGAAAGAAUAAAGCAUCUCAUGGAUGAUGCGAUGACUCUGAAUGAUGAUCCGAAAGGGUGAUGAUGAGGAGUGAUUGCAAAUUCUAUCGAGCAAGAGCCGAGACUCCAUCACGUUCUUCUAAUUGUGUCGAGCAAUGAGGAGUUAGAUUUUUGAUUCAGCAAUGAAUCAGAGAGAAUCUGUUUCAACGACAGCAAGCGUGUUGGAGAUACAUUGGUCAAGCUACAAAGGGCUCACGGUGGAUACCUUGGCACACAGAGGCGAUGAAGGA
rnacentral:tRNA from 1 species